GCUCCUGGCUCAGGAUGAACGCUAGCUACAGGCUUAACACAUGCAAGUCGAGGGGAAACGACAUCGAAAGCUUGCUUUUGAUGGGCGUCGACCGGCGCACGGGUGAGUAACGCGUAUCCAACCUGCCCAUCACUUGGGGAUAACCUUGCGAAAGUAAGACUAAUACCCAAUGACAUCCCACGAAGACAUCUGAAUGGGAUUAAAGAUUUAUCGGUGAUGGAUGGGGGUGCGUCUGAUUAG
rnacentral:rRNA from 1 species